AGAUUAAGUUAUUAAGGGCGCACGGUGGAUGCCUUGGCACUAGAAGCCGAUGAAGGACGUUACUAACGACGAUAUGCUUUGGGGAGCUGUAAGUAAGCUUUGAUCCAGAGAUUUCCGAAUGGGGAAACCCAACAUGAGUUAUGUCAUGUUAUCGAUAUGUGAAUACAUAGCAUAUCAGAAGGCACACCCGGAGAACUGAAACAUCUUAGUACCCGGAGGAAGAGAAAGAAAAUUCGAUUCCCUUAGUAGCGGCGAGCGAAACGGGAAGAGCCCAAACCAACAAGCUUGCUUGUUGGGGUUGUAGGACACUCUAUACGGAGUUACAAAGGACGACAUUAGACGAAUCAUCUGGAAAGAUGAAUCAAAGAAGGUAAUAAUCCUGUAGUCGAAAAUGUUGUCUCUCUUGAGUGGAUCCUGAGUACGACGGAGCACGUGAAAUUCCGUCGGAAUCUGGGAGGACCAUCUCCUAAGGCUAAAUACUCUCUAGUGACCGAUAGUGAACCAGUACCGUGAGGGAAAGGUGAAAAGCACCCCGGAAGGGGAGUGAAAUAGAACCUGAAACCGUGUGCUUACAAGUAGUCAGAGCCCGUUAAUGGGUGAUGGCGUGCCUUUUGUAGAAUGAACCGGCGAGUUACGAUUUGAUGCAAGGUUAAGCAGUAAAUGUGGAGCCGUAGCGAAAGCGAGUCUGAAUAGGGCGUUUAGUAUUUGGUCGUAGACCCGAAACCAGGUGAUCUACCCUUGGUCAGGUUGAAGUUCAGGUAACACUGAAUGGAGGACCGAACCGACUUACGUUGAAAAGUGAGCGGAUGAACUGAGGGUAGCGGAGAAAUUCCAAUCGAACCUGGAGAUAGCUGGUUCUCUCCGAAAUAGCUUUAGGGCUAGCCUCAAGUGAUGAUUAUUGGAGGUAGAGCACUGUUUGGACGAGGGGCCCCUCUCGGGUUACCGAAUUCAGACAAACUCCGAAUGCCAAUUAAUUUAACUUGGGAGUCAGAACAUGGGUGAUAAGGUCCGUGUUCGAAAGGGAAACAGCCCAGACCACCAGCUAAGGUCCCAAAAUAUAUGUUAAGUGGAAAAGGAUGUGGCGUUGCCCAGACAACUAGGAUGUUGGCUUAGAAGCAGCCAUCAUUUAAAGAGUGCGUAAUAGCUCACUAGUCGAGUGACACUGCGCCGAAAAUGUACCGGGGCUAAACAUAUUACCGAAGCUGUGGAUUGUCCUUUGGACAAUGGUAGGAGAGCGUUCUAAGGGCGUUGAAGCAUGAUCGUAAGGACAUGUGGAGCGCUUAGAAGUGAGAAUGCCGGUGUGAGUAGCGAAAGACGGGUGAGAAUCCCGUCCACCGAUUGACUAAGGUUUCCAGAGGAAGGCUCGUCCGCUCUGGGUUAGUCGGGUCCUAAGCUGAGGCCGACAGGCGUAGGCGAUGGAUAACAGGUUGAUAUUCCUGUACCACCUAUAAUCGUUUUAAUCGAUGGGGGG
rnacentral:rRNA from 1 species